GCAGAUCUGUAGCGCAGCCUGGUAGCGCACCUGUUUUGGGAACAGGAAGUCACAGGUUCGAAUCCUGGGUUGUGAA